rnacentral:rRNA from 1 species
UGCAAGUCGAGCGAACAAACGAGGAGCUUGCUCCUCUGACGUUAGCGGAGGACGGAUGAGCUAACACGUGGAUAACCUACCUAUAAAACUGGGAUAACUUCGGGAAACCGGACCUAAUACCGGAUAACAUGUUGAACCGCAUGGUUCAACAGUGAAAGACGGUCUUGCUGUCUCUUAUAUAUGGAUCCGCCCCGCAUUAUCUAUUUGGAAAGGUGACACUGUUACCAGGGCAACGAUGCGUACCCGACCUGAGAGGGUGAUCGGCCACACUGGAACUGAGACACGGUCCAGACUCCUACGGGAGGCAGCAGUAGGGAAUCUUCCGCAGUGGGCGAAAGCCUGACGGAGCAACCCCGCGUGAGUGAAAAAGGUCUUCGGAUCGUAAAACUCUGUUAUUAGGGAAAAACAAAUGUGUAAGUAACUAUGCACGUCUUGACGGUACCUAAUCAAAAAGCCACGGCUAACUACGUGCCAGCAGCCGCGGUAAUACGUAGGUGGCAAGCGUUAUCCGGAAUUAUUGGGCGUAAAGCGCGCGUAGGCGGUUUUUUAAGUCUGAUGUGAAAGCCCACGGCUCACCCGUGGAGGGUCAUUGGAAACUGGAAAACUUGAGUGCAGAAGAGGAAAGUGGAAUUCCGUGUGUAGCGGUGAAAUGCGCAGAUAUAUGGAGGAACACCGUGGCGAAGGCGACUUUCUGGUCUGUAACUGACGCUGAUGUGC